rnacentral:rRNA from 1 species
UACGAAGGGUGCAAGCGUUACUCGGAAUUACUGGGCGUAAAGCGUGCGUAGGUGGUUUGUUAAGUCUGAUGUGAAAGCCCUGGGCUCAACCUGGGAAUUGCAUUGGAUACUGGCAGGCUAGAGUGCGGUAGAGGAUGGCGGAAUUCCCGGUGUAGCAGUGAAAUGCGUAGAGAUCGGAAGGAACAUCAGUGGCGAAAAGCGGCUUCCUGGACCAGCACCGACGUCAGGCACGAAAGCGUGGGGAGCAAACAGG